GACGCAUAACGUGUUGUUGAGGGCGCGGUGUGAGCCAGGUUCCAGGGGCGGCCGGGGCUUCCGGAAAAGGGCGGCUUCUACUGCUGCUCCGACUCUGGGUUUCUGAUCCAACGUUCCCGCUGCUCCGUUCGCGGCUCCAGGUCAUUUGGCUGGAGUAUUGCCAACCCACGGUUCUCCAGGACUGGUUCAACUGGAAGGCCAAUUAUUCUAAUCCUUUCUCGUG
rnacentral:lncRNA from 1 species